rnacentral:rRNA from 1 species
AUAAUGGGUCAGCGACUUAUAUUCUGUAGCAAGGUUAACCGAAUAGGGGAGCCGAAGGGAAACCGAGUCUUAACUGGGCGUUAAGUUGCAGGGUAUAGACCCGAAACCCGGUGAUCUAGCCAUGGGCAGGUUGAAGGUUGGGUAACACUAACUGGAGGACCGAACCGACUAAUGUUGAAAAAUUAGCGGAUGACUUGUGGCUGGGGGUGAAAGGCCAAUCAAACCGGGAGAUAGCUGGUUCUCCCCGAAAGCUAUUUAGGUAGCGCCUCGUGAAUUCAUCUCCGGGGGUAGAGCACUGUUUCGGCAAGGGGGUCAUCCCGACUUACCAACCCGAUGCAAACUGCGAAUACCGGAGAAUGUUAUCACGGGAGACACACGGCGGGUGCUAACGUCCGUCGUGAAGAGGGAAACAACCCAGACCGCCAGCUAAGGUCCCAAAGUCAUGGUUAAGUGGGAAACGAUGUGGGAAGGCCCAGACAGCCAGGAUGUUGGCUUAGAAGCAGCCAUCAUUUAAAGAAAGCGUAAUAGCUCACUGGUCGAGUCGGCCUGCGCGGAAGAUGUAACGGGGCUAAACCAUGCACCGAAGCUGCGGCAGCGACGCUGAUGCGUUGUUGGGUAGGGGAGCGUUCUGUAAGCCUGCGAAGGUGUGCUGUGAGGCAUGCUGGAGGUAUCAGAAGUGCGAAUGCUG